rnacentral:rRNA from 1 species
AUUCGGAUUGGAGUCUGCAACCCGACUCCAUGAAGCUGGAUUCGCUAGUAAUCGCGCAUCAGCCAUGGCGCGGUGAAUACGUUCCCGGGCCUUGUACACACCGCCCGUCAAGCCAUGGGAGCCGGGAGUGCCUGAAGUGCGUGACCGCAAGGAGCGCCCUAAGGCAAGACCGGUGACUGGGGCUAAGUCGUAACAAGGUACC